rnacentral:rRNA from 1 species
GACGAACGCUGGCGGCGUGCUUAACACAUGCAAGUCGAGCGGUAAGGCCCUUUCGGGGGUACACGAGCGGCGAACGGGUGAGUAACACGUGGGUGACCUGCCCUCAGCUCUGGGAUAAGCCUGGGAAACUGGGUCUAAUACUGGAUAUGACUCCACGGUGCAUGUCGUGGGGUGGAAAGCCUUGUGCGGCUGAGGAUGGGCCCGCGGCCUAUCAGCUUGUUGGNGGGGUGANGGCCCUACCAAGGCGACGACGGGUAGCCGGCCUGAGAGGGCGACCGGCCACACUGGGACUGAGACACGGCCCAGACUCCUACGGGAGGCAGCAGUGGGGAAUCUUGCGCAAUGGGCGAAAGCCUGACGCAGCGACGCCGCGUGAGGGAUGACGGCCU